rnacentral:rRNA from 1 species
UACGUAGGGUGCAAGCGUUAAUCGGAAUACUGGGCGUAAAGCGUGCGCAGGCGGUUUUGUAAGUCUGUCGUGAAAGCCCCGGGCUCAACCUGGGAAUUGCGAUGGAGACUGCAAGGCUUGAAUCUGGCAGAGGGGGGUAGAAUUCCGACGUGUAGCAGUGAAAUGCGUAGAGAUGUGGAGGAACACCGAUGGCGAAGGCAGCCCCCUGGGUCAAGAUUGACGCUCAUGCACGAAAGCGUGGGGAGCAAACAGG